GGAAAGCACACGCCGAGUCUUCAAUAAGAGACUCGGGGCGGACAAGCCAACAACACCGUGACCCUCGACCCGGGUCGGCUUUGGCCCCGCGUGGAUCGGGGCCCCUUCCCCUCCAGUCCCGGGUGCGGCGCCCGAGAACCGAGGCUUCCGCGUCUUCCCCACCGGGUUGCUCCUGCGUUGAGGGCCUGUCCCCUGGUGGUCAGUCUCCCGCCGUGCACCGCGUGCCGGGAGGAAUUCGCGGGGAUCCAUGGAGCUCCAUCAGAACCGUCUGGAACUGUAGACAGGAAUGUUGCCCAGGGAUGUGCUUGCUGGCAAGGAAGCGUGCCUGUUAACAACACCAGACACGUCCACUCCAGCUGAAGUGAUAGAGGGGCUGCGGCUUGAGUUUCUACCCAAGAGGAGUGGGAAGGUCAAAAUCAAGGUUAAAGAGGCCCAGAUUUGCUUGGGAAUCUGAUUUUGCAGUUUUGCGCAGUCGAUACACUAUUUUUACUUUCAAGGAUUUUUUGUCGUUUGUUUGUUUUGUCCGGAGAAGGCAAUGGCACCCAACUCCAGUACUCUUGCCUGGAAAAUCCCAUGGAUGGAGGAGCCUGGUCACUGGUGGACCCCUUUCCAAAUCUCAUCUCCACCCUGCCUCCUGGCCUUCAGUACACAUUGGGAUUUGGACGGGGAUGACCUGCCCCCUCCCCCAUACUGGAUGAUGACACACCCGCCUCCCAGUGAGUGCACCACCAGGACCAGAGGCCGCCUUCAUGCCCGAUCCACGGCCAGGUGAAGUUCCUGCAGCAGCUGCUGCUCCUCUGCCAGCUCUCCCGGAGAUCGUAGAGCCACAGUUUCAGCAGGCUCUGGUCCCAGAGAUGGAGACUUCUGGUAAAUGCCCCCAGGAUUCCACCCCAGUGAGAUCUCCUAGAUUGUAUCCACCUCUCCUAGUGAGUACUGAUGGGAAGGGGGAAGAAAACACAGGAAUUAGAGGCUGUGCUCCACCAAGGAACAGGGGGAAAGAACCCCACUACAGAUGCCCCUCAGAGGCUACAACAGCCUCCAGUUCAGGUCGCAUGGGGCACUACCAUCAGCCCCCUGUAGCCCAGCCAUUUUCCUCUACAGAUAUAUUAAACUGGCAGAGACACGCUCCACUGUACUCGGGGGAGCCACAAGCCAUGAUUAGGCUAAUGGAGACUACUUUCCGAGCCCACUGCUCUACAUGGGAUGAUAUAAUCCAACUACUAGUCUCCCUUUUUUUACUGAGGAAAGAUACAAGCUCCUAACAGAGGCCAGAAAAUGGUUAAGAGAAAUGGCACCUGAGGGUACUGCAAACCCGCAGUGGUGGGCAGAACCAGCCACCCCAGAUGAGAGGCCCAGUGGGGACUGUAACACAGAGGAAGGGAGGGGCCACCUGGCGAGAUAUCAGGCGGCUAUUUUACAAGGCCUCAAGAGGGGGCCCCAAAAACCUAUGAAUAUGGUAAAACCCUCUGAAGCGAUUCAAAGGGAAAGCAAACCACCCUCUGAGUUCUACAAAAGACCGUGCGAGACCUAUAGACUUUAUAGAUCCAGAGGCUGCUGGGUCUCAGAUGGUGAUAAAUGCAGCCUUUGUGUUUCUAGCCUACCCCAAAAAUGUCAGAUGGAGGGACACCAAGGGACUCAUUAAUUUUUAUACAUCCCUGAAUGCCCAGUGCCUUUGUUGGGAAGAGACUUGCUGUCUAAAUUGGGGCCACAAGUGACCUUUCCCCCCACGAAAGACCCACUCUUCAAGUGGGCUCAACCACCUAUUUACUCUUCCUCUUGGGAACCCCUCAAGAUGAAUGGAGGUUGCACAAUCUCCUGGAAGGGAAACUGGACAAGCUGAGCAGUUGAGAGAGAGAGUUAACUCAACAAUUCCCUGAGGUCUGGGUGGAAGACAACCCCCCUAGGCUUGCAAAACAAGUCCCACUGGUAAUAGAACUCAAUCCCGGUACAAUGAUGUCCAAACCCGCCUUGGGCCUGCCAGACCUUGCUAAGCCGUUGACUCUUUACGUGACUGAAAAGGACAAGGUGGCUAUGGGAGUGUUGUCCCAGACUAUGGGGACACAGGACAGACCCGUGGCUUAUCUCUCAAAACCGAUGGACAGUGUUGCUGCUGGGUGGCCGGGAUGCUUACGGACAGUUGCUAUGGUUGCCUUACUGGUCCAGGAGGCAACCAAGCUGACUUCAGGCCAAGAUUUGAUCAUAAAAGUCCCAUACGAGGUCAACACUCUCCUGUGAGGGGACCCCCAUAAAUGGCUGUCGACAUCCCGGAUUACUCAGUACCAGGGACUGUUAUGUGAGAAUCCCCACAUUACUAUUAAGCCUUGUCAGGCCCUGAAUCCAGCCACUCUCCUUCCUGUGGGAGAAGGUGGGCCCUCACGUGAUUGCAAGGAAAUCCUAGAAGAAGUUUAUGCCAGCAGACCUGACUUGAGAGACCAGCCAAUCCCAGACCCAGAGUGGGUCCUGUACACAAAGGCACCAGCCUGGCAAAACCAGGACGAUGACUGUUGGGAUACACAGUAGUCACGGAAGAAGCCAUCGUUGAGGCCAGCUCUCUGCCAUCACACUGGUCUGCUCAACAGGCCGAACUACGUGCUCUAAUCCGGGCCCUCCAGCUCUCAAAAGGCAAGAAGACAAACAUUUACAGAGACUCCAGGUAUGCUUUUGCUACUUUACAUGUACACGGGGCUUUAUAUAAAGAGCGAGGUCCUCUGACAACCAACAGAAAGGACAUUAAAAACAAAGAAGAAAUCUCGACUCGCUUAGAUGCUGUAUGGGAACCUGAAAAGGUAGCAGUGAUGCAUUGUUGGGGUCACCAAAAGGGAGACACCCCACAAACAGGGGGAAACCGACUAGCAGAUAAAUCCACAAAACAUGCGGCUGAGAAAUCUGGGCCUGCUGGUGGGGGAUCUAUCAGAACCUUUGUACUCUCAAAAAUGCCUGAGUUAACUUUAACUCUCUCACAGUAUACCCUGGCCCAAGACCAGCUGGCUGAAGCAGAAAGGGCCACCAAAAAUGAAAAAAGGCAAUACUGCCCUGGGACAUGAUCAAAAACCUCCAGGAAUACAGUUAAAAGGCACUCUAAGUGGACUUUAAGCCCUGCUGACACUCAUGGUAUGUACCUUCUCAGGAUGGGUGGAGGCCUUCCCCACCCCAACUGAAAAAGCAAAUGAAGUGGCUCGCUGUCUGCUUCCAGAAAUAAUCCCCAGAUUGUGUUCCCAACCAGUAUAGGAUCAGACAACGGCCCUGCCUUUGUACCCGACUUAAUUCAACAGGUAUGUAAAGCUCUAAAUAUCAGGUGGAAAUUACAUAUGGCAUAUAGGCCCCAGAGUUCUGGGAUGGUGGAACGAACCAACCAGACACUUAAAAGAGACACUCUCCAAGUGGAUCUUAGAGACUGAGUGCUCCCGGGUGGACUUUCUUCCAAAGGCUCUGCCCAGACUCAAGAUGACCCCACGGUCGCAUGGCUAUUCUCCGUACGAAAUUGUGUAUGGGAGGCCCCCUCCCAUUGUAAAAAAAAUUUGCCUCAGGUAAGGGGAGAUGAGAUUUCACAGCAGAUGAAACAACUGGGUAAGGUAAUAAAUCAGGUAACUAAGUUUGUACAAGAAAGGGUGCCAUUCCCCCUUGGGGAACAGAUUCACGAAUUUGUGCCAGGGGAUCAGGUGUGGUGAAGGACUGGAAACACGACUCCUUGGCCCCACAUUGGAAGGGUCCAUAUACUGUUGUUCUGACCAGCCUUACUGCAGUUGAAGUUGUAGGUGUUACUCCCUGGAUCCACCACAUGAGGGUGAAGAGAGCAUGCCACACAGACCCAGAGGACGCUGAGUGGACUACACAACAGGACCCCACUGAUCCCCGUGAAACCAAGAUCAUCUUAAAGAAGAAAAAGAGAUGAAGCUCGACAAUUAACUGCUGCUACAAGGACUUGCUGGUAUCAUCUUGAGACUAACCAUAGUUUCAGCACAAAGAGGGACCUGUGGUAUAAUUAAUGUUGAAUGUUGUGUAUAUAUUCCUGAUUUAUCUGGCUAUAUAUCAGCCACCCUAGAUGACAUGAAAGGUCAGGUAAAAGUUAUGUCUGAUGAUAAUCUUCCUUUUUGGACUUCAGUCCUAUCUUGGGUGAACGGUGAUUGGUGGAAAACUAUAUUUACUAUUAUUAUAGUUGCCUUGAUAGUUCUGCUUUCUGGACCCUUUAUUUUACAAUGUAUUAUGAACUUGGUAACUCAAAGGUUGAUGUCGUUCUCCCAAAUUGGCGGUCGGAGAGUCAGGGUGCAAUAUAUCCCUAUGAAUGAUGCUCAUACUAUGAGUAAAGAGCAUCAAGAGGUGGGGAAUGAAGGAGGAAACAGACAGAACAGGCUCCAUCUUGAAAGCAGGACUCCAUCUUGGGCUGGACUGUGGACUUUGAGCUGUAUGCCCAGUAUCUAUGGAAACGACAUACCAGCUGGAAAACCAGACCCCCCCAGAUGGAAGAGCCCCAGGGCUCGUACCUAUACUCUCUGUUGCCUAAGAGAAUACCCUAAUUAUCUGUGUAACUGAAGAGAAUCAUAAAUUCUAUUAUGCUUAUGGGGUAUGACCACAGGCCUAUUGAUAAGUGUCCACUGUUAACUACCUAGGCUUAAGGCAUAAGA